ensembl:lncRNA
CUGGAUUAGGGGUUCCAUGGUAAUUACAGAGCAAUGGCAAAGUGCCUCUCGGCUGACCCGUGGAACAUGGUGCUGGCUGGGAGCUGCAGUGAAAACUUCUGGAUAGAUGUCAGGGCUUUUUCUCCUACUGUGAUUUAUUGAUACAUUUACCAGGAAUGAAAACAGUACAGGUCUCUGAAAACGUCACAGCAGCCUACAGAGAUUAGAUGAAAAAGUGGAGAAUUUAGUAGGGGACACUAAAAGCCUUGUAAAUGAAGUAUUCAGCUGUGCAAUUAAAUUCUAUUGCUGAGUAAUUUAUUGCAUCAUCACUGAAAAGCUGAAGGGAAGUUAUCGAGUCCUAAGGGACUGAGUAGGACAUACCCCUGUGCUAUGCCCAAGUGCUCAGCAACUCUCAGACAUCUACUGGCUGCAUCAGCAAUGUGGGAAGAAAAAAGGCACACCACGUGCAGGAAUAACAACUGUUAUUUAAGAAAAAGCAGCUGUAUUAGUCAAGCCACAGUGUGCAUCAGCUGAGCAGAUAGGUCCCCAGGCCUGUGAUAUAUAGGGCAAUCACCCCAAGCUAUACACAGCCUUCUUGUCCCAGCCCACAUGGCUCGUCCUGGGGAAAGCAGGAGGAGAUACUGAACAAGGCCUCCUGCAAAGCUGUUAUGUACAGAUGGUUUUUUACAUCGUGCCUGGAAGGGUCAAAGAUAUUUGAGCUGUUUCACACCGCUGGGGCUAGGGACAGGCUCCAUAGCCAGUGGGCAUUGGCAAAAUGUUCUGUUGGCAGCCCUCUCCCUUCUCCAGCGAGGGUCUUUUCUGCCUGCCAUGCAGCCAGUUGCAACUCACUCAAAGUGGUGGGUAGUGCUUCCAUUUGGAGAUGGACCAGUAUGCACCUCAAAGGACAAGCAGUCUUCACUACCUCCUUAGCCUCUGUAAGCUAUUUUGGCUUUACCUGAACAUUUCUCAGAGACAUCUGAAAUGGAGAAUCAAAACCUUGAUUGCAAUUAGGAAGGGGUUAAACAAAAUUAAGUGAAUAAAAGGCUCCAAACAUUUUCAGGUAAUUGUGGUCAGCAAGUUUAGCUGAACUCCUUCUGGGAGAAACUAUGGCAGAAUUCACCACGUCUUUCAGACACAUCUGUGUGUAUUUCACUGUGACCAACAGUGUCACAGAUAAGAGGUAAUUCCCUUAACAAAGGGUUAAACCAGCGGAGGACGAAUAGGUGGGAUUACAGAUGAAUUUCAGGCUACAGUGUCAGGAGAAGCAUCAGAGUUAAAUGCCCUGCUGUAUACUUUCUGAGGGUAAAACAGCCCCUCUGUAAUACAUUGUUUCCUUCAAGGCAACAAAAGAAGAGAAAUGGAUAGAAAUGGAAGCAAACAUCCUUGACUAAUGAAAGACACGAGGGCUGGCAAACUUCAAAUGACUCCAAGUUGGAGAUGUGAGAGCCCACCCAAUAUUCAUGCAUAUAUAUGUAUAUAUAUAAAUUGUCACCAAAAUAUCCCCUGUGCUUGAAUUAAAGUCUUAUGCUAGCCGGUCUCCCAUUCAAUUCCACAUUUUCUGGUUUGUCUCAGAGGACUUCAGCAAGAGCCCACACCUCUGCAGUCACGCAACCUGAUGGCCAUGAGAAGAAGUUUUGUCCUGGUGACAGGCAAACUCCUUUCCUUGGCUGUAGACACAACGGAGUGGAUUUCUGAAGUCCCCUGAAGUAUCAAUAACACAUUUUUAAAAAUGGAUGUACAGUAAGAGUUGGAUUUCUGGAGGGGGAAGAGCUACCAAAAUUAUUGGUUCCAGCCUGGUUAACUGAAAGCUCCAUGAGAAACACAAAGUGAGGUGAGGCGACACACGGCCACCCAUUGAUGUAAUGAGGAGGAAACACAAAGGCAUUAGAGAAUACAGAUGGAAAGUGGUAUUUUGGCAUUUUCACAAUGAAAUAAGAUAAUUGUUAGACUUUAGGUAAACGUAUGUUUUGGUGGGCUCAGAAGAGAAGUGGAAAGAGUUUGCACAUGUAGGCCUUGGAUACUUCCACAGUGCCACCCUCCAUUGCUGGAAGGGAAAUGCAUUUGAAUCAUUACAUGCACCUUUAGCAAGAACCCAUGACAUCAUAUUUCCAAAUAUUUUGCAAAAAACAAAGAGGCUGAUUUAGUCAUGAGUCAGAUAUUGUUAACUUGAGAAAUAUUAGUGAAUUAAGUUUAUAUCAAUAUAUCAAUAACAUUAAUAACUAUUGGGUGCUCUGAUAUAAAUUAGUUAGCAUUGUGCUAGAAAAUGGUUUAGGAUAUACAGAGUGAUUUACAUAGCAGAUCGUGUCAUGUGCCUGACUACUCUGCUUUUCAUAUAUUUAUUUGGAGAGCCAGACAGAUAACAGAAAAAGUAAUUAAUAGAUUUGGCUUGAAAAAUGUUUAGGUAUUAGUGUAUAUUCUAGUAAUCAGUCUGAUCCCAGUAGCUAGGUGAAAAAUGGGGAGCAAAUACUUCACUUACUGGAGAUACAGCAUGAAAUUCAUUGCAUCGAUCAUCUAAAAGUCACCUCUUAGUUUUAGCAGGGUGGAUAAAAUCAGUGAAAUACAGGAGAAAGCAGUGAGAAAGAAGGCAGUCAUGUCUGGCUACUUGCUCUCAGGAAGUGACCAAGCCACUGCUGGAAAGCCAAGCUCUCAGCUGGAGAACGAUCACUGCCUGGGGACUCAGUCAGCCACACAGAUACUGAUGACACAAGACAUGAUAAGAUGGCCACAAAGUUCUCUUGAUGGAAGCACUUACCUGCAGACCUGCAAGUGCCGGGAACAGUGCUGGAGGCAGGCUUUGGCAGGGAAGUCUGGCUGAGGGUAGUUUGUCCUUCUGACCAGGUAAUUUCUUCUGUGACACAAAUAGACUCAGAAUAUUACAUGAGAUACAAAACAGAAGGAAGCUGGCACUGUUAGUGAUUAUUUAUUACCUAUUUAUUAGCAGGUAAUGGCUGACCUGCAGGCAAUACUGAAGAAAUGCAUUAGUCUCACUCCUAAAUUACAAACAGUUUUGACUUCUGCUACUGAGCCUCAGAAAUCUGUCUUACAUUGGUCAGUCUGGCCACCAGAUUAGCUUUUUAGCUGCUGCUGAGGAAAUGGCUGUGUUGGAGGAACGUGAGUUAUUAAACCAAAAAAGUGCAUCAGUAGUGUAUGAAUACGAAGGCUACCCAAGCAUCUCUGCUUCCUACAUCACAGAGCUGGUGUUCAAGUACCCAGCGAAAAAGCAGCAAUUGCUGCACAAUUGCUGUUAUUCCAGAAUAAAACUUGAAAAGAAAUCAACCAACCAACCAACCAUCAUUUGACCACUUCAAAUUUAUAGAAAUACCAAAAAUUCAUCGCUUCUUGAAGAGCCAGGUGGGCUAGCAGCUGAUGGCAAACAUUCCUGCAUUCCUGAUGAAAAGCCUUUGUAUUUUUUCUUGCAACACAAUGACGUGUUCUUGUUACAUCCUCUUCACUCUUGACCCCCAGGAUUGGCAAGCCACUCCUUCCCCUGCCUUUCCACACCUGGCAUCCUCCACGCAAACAUCUGUGUUUCAAGGCCCCAUGCUUCUUCCCCAGGCUGUCUCUGUAUCAUAAGCUAUACAAACAGGAAGCAUGGACAUUUACAUCAUUUGAUGUAAACCAGAGCAAAAAGGAGAGUGACAAACAACAAGCGGGGUAAGAGGGAGACUGUGAAACCAAAGCAAAUAAAAUUAGAUCACAUAGCUGCAUAAUUGAGCCAGUCCCUGUUUUCAAAUCUUAUCAAGGGGCUACUUUCAAAUGUAAUUAUAGCAAAUUACAGCUAGUGAUGCCAACCUACACGCCACUGCUUAUAGGUAAAGCAGAAACUGGUCACAGAGAGACUUUGGAAGAGAAGACAGAAGUGGCCAGAGGAUUUCUGGGAAUACAGGUACGCCCAGGCUUUAAAGUGCCCUAUGAAUCCUUUAUCUGAUCUAAUAACUGAAACAGAGUUGGAUUAUAUCUGUAGGGACAAGUCCACAGGAUCUCAAAUCUUAGGAAGAUCUCUCUUUUGAUAAGACCCAGUGCUCGCCUCCCCUACAAACUUCACGCUUCAUCUUUUUAGCUGUCUUUACUAUGGGUGCCCAGGUUGUGCAUAUUAACAGAGAAGCUGUUCAGGGAUUAAAAGGAGAGAAGUAGGCUGCAGGUAUUUUCUCCACCCAAAAGCAGGGUAGAUGAACCCUAGGAAGCAUAUCUACACAGACAUCAUGAGACAGGUCAAAUUCUGCUGGUAAACGGUCACAACAAAUAUAAUAGGAUUGUAUUUCAUUAUAACACAAGCUGUUCUGCAAGGGAAAAGGUCUUUUGAGAUUUGUUGCAGAACUGCACAGAUCACCUUAUCUGUUCUUACUGAAGUGAUUCAAUUUGUUGUAGUGCGUCACUGAUUCAAGGCCAGAACUUUGCUAACCCUAAGUGCUGUAUGAUUAACAGCCUCUUGCUCCAACAAAUUGCUGGUUUGCACUCUGCAACCAACUUUUCUUUGCAAAAUUUGGUCUAAUGUUUAUUACAGAGCUUCAUGUUUUGCAUAAGAUUUUGCUUCAGGGAAAUUGGGUUUCCAGUAUCUAUCUCAUUUCAGUGCAAUUAGAAGAGAAAAUCUGAUUUUCUUUUAAUUCAAGGUAGAUCACAUUUCAAGUAUCACCGAGAAAGAAACGUCCUGCAACUUGCAUUUUGAUUUAUGACUACUCCUUUCAGAACAAUUACUAUUUAUACAUUCAUUUAUCGUGCCUCUUGGUGUCAUAUUUUUGGCAAAGUCACCGGACAAUGUAGUGUGUCCCAAUUCUCCCUCCAUCAGAAAACAUUUAGCCGAAUUGCCUUUUAAUAACGAUACUGCCUUUUAAUUUUGCAAAAUGAGAACGUGGAUUGUACCACUUUACUCAGCUCUUCCUUUGAUUAAUGGGAAUACACUUCUGCAUACAGAGAAUGAGGCUUCAUGCAUUAUGGCCUGAAAAAAAUUCCAAUAUAAAGUUUCAAGUAUAAAAACCCCAGGGAACAUACAAUGUAUUGCUUUAAGGUAGGUUUGGGGUGAACUGAAAGGUAAGACAGGGGAAAGGCGGAGGAAGAGAUUCUGCUGGAAACAAGGCUGUUUAUGGGAACCGAGUCAGUGCCUGGGUGUAUGUAUUGCUUGGAUAAAGACUGGAGAAGAAAAGAAAGACACCGCUGAUAACGAUAAUAGAUGAUUCUGUUUGCUGCUGUCUUCCAUCAUAGAAAAAUACCAUAGGCCAACAGUUAAACAUCAUCUAUUUUAAUUAGCAUCUAAAGCAUUUAGUUAUCUAUGUAGUAAGUAACUGCAACAAAACUAUGUCAGGCUGGAAUGCAAAGAGGGAGUUGUGGAAGGAAAAGCAAUCUGAUCUGAGCUCAGAGCUGUGGCCUCCCUUCAGAUACCUAAACGCUUACAUCCUAAAUUCCAGCUGACAUUUUAAAAGGAAAAAAAAAAAAAAAAAAUGAAGUGGAGGACAAAAACAACUGAUACGAAGAAAUUAAUUCUCCUGCCCUCAACUUUUCAAUGGGCUGACUUUUGGACUUAAGCAGAGUUACAUGCUGGCACAAAUGCCAGCACAUUGCUCAAUCAGUAUAUGAAUGGACUGCUAAAUGUUCAUGAACUUCUACAGGAUAUUCACUAUUCAAAGUGUGAGAUAUUAACCACUUAAUUUAUUUUUAAAACACUGACUAUUUGUGAUCUUGAUCAAGCACUGCUUCCACUUAUAUCUUCUGGGGGAUGGAUGGGAACCACAGCCAAGUGCAGCCUCCAUCUCUCCCUUCCUCCAGACCAGGCACGCUCCCCUUCUAAAAGAGACGACUUCCCAAAUGUUCAUGGCACCAACAUUACAAGUGAGAGCACACAACCUGUUUUCAGGAAUCACUUGCUCUUCCUCACCCUGACUACUCUAGACGUGCACCCUGUGUAGAUGGUGCUUGGGUUCCAAACAGGGCAUACCAAUGCUCUCAGCACUACCCUGCAGAGAGUUGUAUUUAUGGAUUGGUGGUUUGGCUUUGAUCAGAUUGCUUAACUCUGCUUUGUAUAGUGAGCUUCCCUAACUAACGGCCACAUUUUAAUCUAGCCUAGAAAAAAACUGGAACUACACUUCUGAGUGCAAAGCUGCUCUGAACAGCUUGCCCAGAAGUACAGUUACUGAAAAUGUUUACACAUGUAAUUUUAUUGCAAGUGUAUACACAACAGUGUCUUUAUUGAUUACUUUCCCAGUUACGGAAGUGUCUCACUAUUUCAACCCCAGCUCAACCUGCAACCUUUUCAGUUCAAUCACACACCAUUUAAUGCUGUCCUAAUAUUAGCAACCCUUUAUUUCCACAACCUGGAUUUUCCAUAUUUUCAUCCCUGUGACCAGCAGAAAGCUCAUUGCCAAAUAACAAUGAGCUCAUCUCAAACGCUAAUGCAGUCAGUGCCAGGUGAACAAAUUGUCUAUUAUUAGACUUUUUCAUGCACUAAGAGCUUUUGUUCCCUCCUUGCCUGUCUUAACACCUGCUGUUGCAAUGCGUAUCAACUUUCAGAACAUCGUUCACACUAACAACAGAACAUAAAAUGUAUUGGGGAAAUUGCUCAUGCAAAAAGUGAUUAAGUUUUGUAAAGAAAGCUUUGUCAAGUAAAAAGGAAGAAAAGUAAGGCAUGUGGUGAUGGGAAUGGAGUAAUUAUGAAUAUAAAUAAAAAAUCUGCACUAAAUUGAUGCAACAAAAAGUUAGACGUUCAAUAGCAGUAAAUUCAUUCAGUGGCAUUCAGGAAAACACAAAUAGUUGUGAGAAAUGAAUUUGUAUUAGUAGUAGUAGUAAUAGGAAUUUUUUUCCUUCAGUGAGUUUCACACAAAUAUAGAGUGUUUGACUGGUGUGUGAAAGCGUUGAUGGGAUUGUGUGGGUUGGGCAUAUGGAAAAGGUGUAACCCAAACCCAGCAGCUUAAAAAACACAUAUAUAGAUAUUUAAAAAUAUUUAGUAGUGUGAUCCAAGCGUUAGAGAAGGAAAUUAUAAUUAACAGGUUAUAAGGUAUGUUAUGAAGAGGUCUGACUUGUGCUGGAACAAGAAUAGUCAUUGCUCAUGGUAUGGAAAUGGACUACUGUUCCUAGGUGAAAUGGUACUUUUUGCUUUUCACUUUUUUAUUCUGUCAAGCAAAUCAUAAUUAGAAGGUUGCUUUUACAAACAGGAAGAGCAGUGUGACCUGUGGCUGAAGCAUGAGCAGAAGCAACCUGUCAGGACAGGCAAAAUUCCUGUCUGUGGCUGAAUCUCUUUUCCUCUCAGCAACUCAGCAAUGUGCACUUAUGAUAAAAUAAAAUUCCUCUUUAUCCUCUUUCAGCUGCCAUAUCUAUCUAGAUUGGGAACAUUUCCGGCCCAAAACCCUCUCUCCCUGUGUAUUUAUCCUCUGUGUAGCACAUGGGAACUCCAGGCUCAAUUGCAUGCACAGUACACAGUGAAGACAUCUACAGAAAGUGGAACGGAAAAGUUUUUGUUACUUCUUGUUACUGUGGAACAAAUUCUGACUUUGGUUUAGGACCCCUAUCAGAAAGCUAACAAAGGCCAAUUCCUAGAAAAUCAGAGCUUAGGUUAAAUAUUCAAAUAACAAGUAAGCUUUGCAUACAAAUAACGCAACAAAUAACCCCAAUACAUAAUUGAGUUUCUCUGCUUUUUUUUCUCUUCUUUCUCCUUCUCCUGCCUCCCCCAGGUCACACACUAUGAGGAUACACGUGAAUGGCAUCCUCUGCACAGGACACAGCCACAUAAAUUCAAGCCUCUAUGGAAAGUCUUGCAAGGUUCUGGCUGCAUUUGGAUUAUAUCAUUCUCAGAUUGAAACUGAGGAGAGAGAGGAUUCAUUACUGACUUUUCAUGUUGCUUAUUUAAAAAAAUACAAUCAAUCAGAAAGUUAUGAAAAAAUAUUACUUACAAGAAACAAAAAGACAACGAGCAGACUCAGCAGAAGGAUUUGCUCUACUUAAAUAUUAAGUCCAAAUGCAUCUGCUAAAACAACAAGAACAACAAAAUAAAACUCACAAAAAACAACACAAAGUUACUUAGGCUGUUGAUCAGAUUUAAACUUAUUCUCCGUUACCUGUAGUUAUCACCAGCUUGGCAUGUGGCUCAGCCUCCUGGCCAGACCUCUGGAACCAUGACAGGAGAGGCAAGUUCACCACAGUGACUGGCCUUCAUCCAGAGACACCUGUGUAGCAUUCUCUGCUUCGAGUUAUCUAAGUCUCCUUUGCAUCCACCUCAUUCUUUCAAGAGAUAUAGAACAGUUAUGGGUGCGAGGGGGUGAGAGAUGCAGGCAACUCUUUCCAAAACUGAGCAAAAAUUAUUUCACUAAGGAGUCAGCAGGUAGGACCUGCAGCAGGACACUGCUCUGCUCAGCCUUCCCAAAAAUCUACGCAAAAUGUGGAAUGUUAACUUUGACAUAUAAUAAUGUUAUAUACUGAUUAACAACAAAGCAAAAUACUAAAGACACAAAUAAAGAAGUAGAUAUGCAAUAGGGGAAAAAACAGAAGAAGUUUCACUAAGG